rnacentral:rRNA from 1 species
GAUGAACGCUGGCGGCGUGCCUAAUACAUGCAAGUCGAGCGAACAGACGAGGAGCUUGCUCCUCUGACGUUAGCGGCGGACGGGUGAGUAACACGUGGAUAACCUACCUAUAAGACUGGGAUAACUUCGGGAAACCGGAGCUAAUACCGGAUAAUAUAUUGAACCGCAUGGUUCAAUAGUGAAAGACGGUUUUGCUGUCACUUAUAGAUGGAUCCGCGCCGCAUUAGCUAGUUGGUAAGGUAACGGCUUACCAAGGCAACGAUGCGUAUCCGACCUGAGAGGGUGGUCGGCCACACUGGAAGUGAGACGCCGUCCAGACUCCUACGGGAGGCAGCAGUAGGGAAUCUUCCGCAAUGGGCGAGAGCCUGACGGAGCAACGCCGCGUGAGUGAUGAAGGUCUUCGGAUCGUAAAGCUCUGUUAUUAGGGAAGAACAAAUGUGUAAGUAACUAUGCACGUCUUGACGGUACCUAAUCAGAAAGCCACGGCUAACUACGUG